GCCACCGUAGCUCAGUUGGUAGAGCAGUUCAUUCGUAAUGAACGGGUCGGGGGUUCAAAUCCUCUCGGUGGCU
rnacentral:tRNA from 1 species